AUUGAACGCUGGCGGCAUGCUUUACACAUGCAAGUCGAACGGUAGAGGGGGCAACCCCUUGAGAGUGGCGAACGGGUGAGUAAUGCAUAGGAACGUGCCCAGUCGUGGGGGAUAACGCAGCGAAAGCUGUGCUAAUACCGCAUACGAUCUCUGGAUGAAAGCGGGGGACCGAAAGGCCUCGCGCGAUUGGAGCGGCCGAUGUGAGAUUAGGUAGUUGGUGGGGUAAAGGCCUACCAAGCCAACGAUCUGUAGCUGGUCUGAGAGGACGACCAGCGACACUGGGACUGAGACACUGCCCACACUCCUACGAGAGGCAGCAGUGGGGAAGUAUGGACAAUGGGCGCAAGCCUGAACCAGCAAUGCCGCGUGGAGGAAGAAGUCCUUCGUGUUGUAAACUGCUUUUGUACGGAACGAAACGGUCUGGGUUAAUACCCUGGGCUAAUGACGGUACCGUAAGAAGAAGCACCGGCUAACUACGUGCCAGCAGCCGCCGCCG
rnacentral:rRNA from 1 species